AUUCACCUCAUUGUCACCAAAAUCCUCAUCUGGGUUAUCAUCGUUGUCCUCUACAAAUUGACAACAUAAAUAUCAGUGUGCUGGCUGGACUCAUAAUGAUUGACACAAUAAGAAUUGAAGAAUAAGAAAUGAUGACCGAUACCUGCAGGUAAAUCAGUGGCAUGGUCUUCAUGUGCUACAAAAUUCCCAACUUGUUCGCUUUCUCUAAUCAAGUUUUCCUCUGAUAGAUAGAUGAAAACAUAAGUUUACAAUAAUAAUAGCAAGCCUAACCCUUGUUAAUGAACACAUACCUGUAUGUAUAUCAAUGUCUUGGUUUCCUUGUGGUGUAGUAUUAUCCGAUGAAUGAUGGGUCCUGUCAUCGGGGGGACCAACAUAUGGCAUCCAACGAUUCCAACCAAUCUCCCCACGCGGGAAGAAUAGGGGAUAAGACAACGGGUCAUAGCACCCAUAGUAUGCUCUAAUAUAGAGGGGUCGUUCUCCUUUUUUUCCAUGCACGACAACACUCCUGUCAAAGCAAUUUUGUGGGUCGCUCCCUUCAACCCAUAUCGCUGCCACCUGAGAAGCCGUUGGGGCAUUGUACCUUCGUUGAUCCAACUUGAUAUCCGUGUUUAGUGAGAUCCUAUACUCAUCUAGAUUUGGAACAGACCCAAGGCUCUUGAAAACUUGCGCAUAAGGGUUAGGCUGUAGUAUUCGCAGAAUCUUCCGUAUGAGAUCUAUCUUAAGGUCUGGAGAUCUCUUAGCCCUGUGAACCAAGUUUUCAUCUAUAUCAUAAAUAUAGAGUUGGAAAUGUCGAGGGCCAUUAUCAGCCGGCACCAGAUCAUCAAGAGCGUGGUACAACCCGCCACACGCACGAAAAGUAUAUACUCCAGUUCCUGCCGCAUUGCUGACUCGACGAUCAAGGGUGACUCCUAAACUUGUGAAUGAGAAGUGUGAGUUGAAAUAUCAUAUAUGCUCUCUGAAAUAUUUAGCAUCCUCAUCAGCUUGACAUGUAAACAACCGUUUCAACUCUUCUGAAACCUCUGGAGUAAAUAUACCGACUUUUCCUUUUCUGCAACAAAAUGCUGGCCCCUCGAAUGGAAACUGCAAAGCCCCACAGUGAAGGCAGUCUGCAACCUUUUUUAGGACAUGGUGCUUUGUAGGUAGGUUUCGGUAUAUGAAUUCAUCAAUAUCUGCUACGGGUCCUGCUUGUGCAUUCUGGCGCCAAGCUGGUACGACUCGAAAGCAACAUCUAGCACAGAAGGACAGUAGGUAAAUUAUCACUCAAUACAACUAAAGUGUGCACUUGAGGGUGCUAAGUUGGAAAAUACAUAAUGGACAUACCCUGAUCCAUAAAUAUUAUAGCUUCUUCAUCAGGAUCAUGGUAUGUGGCUUCUCCAUUCUGCAGUGGCUCCAUGUAAUCUAGUACGCAAUAUGUUGGUCAAAUAUAAAUUCCUCAAAUAUAUGGAUGAAGACAUUCAAAUGGGAACAACAGUAUAUAUAAUGUACCUUGAAAAUUGGUUUGUUGAACAGGAGGCUCAAAUAUUCCAUAUGGGUCAGCUGUUUGGUCGUUGCCCACUAUGUAAAAUCAUAAGAUCAGUACAACAUAACAAUAUAGGUGUUCUAGUAGACGUAGGGUCGGCAAAACUACCUUGCAGAUUUUGAGUGUUUUGAGCAGUCUCUGUUGUUGGUUCUACUCCUCGCCUAUCAUUAGCCAUGGACUUUUGAGGUUGAUUGGAGGCAUUAAGAGGCUCUAUACAUUAAAAAUGAAAGAGAACCCAGAUUACGGUAAACACGCUUGCACUAUAAGUAAUAUUGAUGCGUGAUUAUAGUAAUAUUAUUCCUUACACUGUACAAAUGCCUAAUGAUAUACCUGGUGCAAUAUCUGCAGUGACAUUGGAAAUUGUUUGCGUUUCGUGACCAAGAGGAUACAGGCUCAAGAUUUUUGGUUUUCAUUGAUGUCAAGCAGGAUGGUGCGGUUAGUAGAUUGACUGUAUCAUAAAUUCUGCUCACCUUAGGCCUUCAGGGACUUGCCGAUAGCGAGGAGGCAACGACGGAGGAACGGCUGCCCACGGUACGGUGCGGUGCAGGGCGGCGAGGGCGUCGUUCCGGAAGCAGACGAUGUUGGCCCAGGGCGAGGGGAUCUGUAGGGCGGCGAGGUCGGGGCGACGGUGCUAUGAUGCAGUGAUGGGAUAAUUGUUUCCUUCCUGAUGAUGCGUGAUUCCAGGUGUUCCCUCCCAGCAUGGUAUGGUGUAGCGAUGGGAAGUUAUUUGUUUCCCUGCGUGUGAUUGAUGAUUGGGAGGGAUGUGGAGGUGAUUUCCUCUGCGGUGGAACAGUCCGUUCGUGUGUAAAUUAUUAAGUGCACCCCAAUCAACAGAUGAGGUUAAGGUUGACCAUUAGAUUGAUUUUAGUGGGCCUACUCGUAGGGUGGUAAUAGGUCUGUGUACGUUUAAUGGGGUGCGUGAAGAGAAGAUAAUGUUUACUCUUUUAUUAGUAGUAGAGAAGAAAUUAACCCCAUUAGAAUAAA